rnacentral:lncRNA from 1 species
CUGGAAUUACCUGUAAACAGAUGGGUAAUGAGAUAAUUAAUAUGACAGUGUCGGUUGUAAGCAAGCUUAAUUUUGCAAUAAACCUUUAUUAAUACAACCACAUCGGUGAUUUUGCUGACUCAGGCAACAGUUUAAAGCUGUAUAAGAUAAUUAAAAGCUGACAGACUGCUAUAAAUAGUACCCAGUUUACCCCAGGUUUGAUUUUUUUCUGACAUCUCAAACAACCUUCUGAUUUUUACACUUUUUGAUGCAUAACUAAAUUAACUGUUUCACUACACAUGAGCAAAUGAAGAAGGUUUGCUCUUCAUCUUUUUAUAGUAAUUAAUCAAAGAAAGUGAGCAGACGGUAGGUUUGAUGCUUGGAUGAGGCAUUGCAUCUUGCAAGAUGUAAUGCUGUGAAUGCCACAUAAAAGGUCAAGAUAAACUGGAGACAAAACCUGGACAAAUCAUUAACCUGCUUCGUGGCAUUUUGGUAUUAUCAGUAUGAAAUCCUUCCGUUCGGGCUGGAGGCAGCACCAGAAAAUGUCUUCACUUAUGCAACUGGGGCACUGACACAAGAGAAACCCCCACGCUGCUGGAGAACCCAUCCCAGCAAAGGAACAGCAAUGAAUUUAAGCCACACACAUGAAAAAAUACAGCUGAAAAGGACUUGGCACCAGGAUUCAGAAGAACUCCUGAACUCAAUUUUGGACUAACCAUGAAAUCUGCUGGAAUCCCAAAAUUCUGUUUAAAAAAAAAAAAAGAAAAAAACAAACAAUGGAACACGAUGUAAGUAUUAAUGGAAAAUAACACUGACACAGUUUAAAUGGAGUGCAUGAAAAUUCCCUCAGGAGGACUUAAUGGCCCCAUUCAAAUAUCAUCAGUUCACCGAGUUUUAUAAAGCUGAAACAUGCUUGUUUUUUGGUUAGUUCAGUUUUUGCUCUUCUCCCUUCCGCCUUCCUCCUUCCUCCUUCCUCCUUCUCCUCACCACCUCAUA